AUGACUGAGAGCUGCUGACCAGCAUCUUCACCCACAUCAACCAUGACCUUCAUCUCCAUCUUCAUCUGCACACUGGCUCUCUGCACUCAAGGAUCCAGAGGUCAGGUGACUGUGACUCAGAGUCCUGCAGUAAAACAUGUCGAUCCAGGAGCUUCAGUCACCAUCAGCUGUAAAACCAGUCCUGCUGUUUCUUCUAGUUAUCGUUUACACUGGUAUCAGCAGAAACCUGGAGAAGCUCCUAAACUCCUGAUCUACUACACUAGCAACAGAGCAUCAGGUAUUCCAGAUCGUUUCAGUGGCAGUGGAUCUGGAUCUGACUUCACUCUGACCAUCAGUAGAAUUGAGACUGGGGAUGCAGGAGAUUAUUACUGUCAGAGUUACCAUGAUGGUGGUGUCUUCACACAGUGUUAUAUGGUGGUACAAAAACCUGGGUGA